rnacentral:rRNA from 1 species
ACUACGGGAGGCAGCAGUGGGGAAUAUUGCACAAUGGGGGGAACCCUGAUGCAGCGACGCCGCGUGGGUGAAGGAGCACCUCGGUGCGUAAAGCCCUAUCGGCAGGGAAGAAAAGCGAACAGGUUCGCCUGGACGGUACCUGACUAAGAAGCCCCGGCUAACUACGUGCCAGCAGCCGCGGUAAUACGUAGGGGGCAAGCGUUAUCCGGAUUCACCGGGUGUAAAGGGAGCGUAGACGGCGGCGCAAGUCUGGAGUGAAAGCCCGGGGCCCAACCCCGGGACUGCUCUGGAAACUGCGGCGCUGGAGUACGGGAGGGGCAGGCGGAAUUCCUGGUGUAGCGGUGAAAUGCGUAGAUAUCAGGAGGAACACCGGCGGCGAAGGCGGCCUGCUGGACCGUGACUGACGUUGAGGCUCGAGAGCGUGGGGAGCAAACAGGAUUAGAUACCCUGGUAGUC